rnacentral:rRNA from 1 species
UCGGCGGGACUCGCGCUCGCCGGGACCAAACCUUCUGAAUCUUUAAUAAGUAUCUUCUGAGCGGUUAAAAAAAAUGAAUCAAAACUUUCAACAACGGAUCUCUUGGUUCUGGCAUCGAUGAAGAACGCAGCGAAAUGCGAUAAGUAAUGUGAAUUGCAGAAUUCAGUGAAUCAUCGAAUCUUUGAACGCACAUUGCGCCCGUCAGUAUUCUGGCGGGCAUGCCUGUUCGAGCGUCAUUACGCCCCUCAAGUCCCCUGUGGACUUGGUGUUGGGGAUCGGCGAGGCUGGUUUUCCAGCACAGCCGUCCCUUAAAUUAAUUGGCGGUCUCGCCGUGGCCCUCCUCUGCGCAGUAGUAAAGCACUCGCAACAGGAGCCCGGCGCGGUCCACUGCCGUAAAACCCCCCAACUUUUUAUAGUUGACCUCGAAUCAGGUAGGACUACCCGCUGAACUUAAGCAUAUCAAUAAGAGCGGGAGGAA